AGCUUUGCGCAGUGGCAGUAUCGUAGCCAAUGAGGUUUAUCCGAGGCGCGAUUAUUGCUAAUUGAAAAAGCAGGAAAAAUAAACAAUUUAAAGGUAGUUAAAAAAAUUCCAAAUAUACCAGUAA
rnacentral:snRNA from 1 species